AUUGAACGCUGGCGGCAGGCCUAACACAUGCAAGUCGAGCGGAUGAAGGGAGCUUGCUCCUGGAUUCAGCGGCGGACGGGUGAGUAAUGCCUAGGAAUCUGCCUGGUAGUGGGGGAUAACGUCCGGAAACGGGCGCUAAUACCGCAUACGUCCUGAGGGAGAAAGUGGGGGAUCUUCGGACCCCACGCUAUCAGAUGAGCCUAGGUCGGAUUAGCUAGUUGGUGGGGUAAAGGCCUACCAAGGCGACGAUCCGUAACUGGUCUGAGAGGAUGAUCAGUCACACUGGAACUGAGACACGGUCCAGGCUCCUACGGGAGGCAGCAGUGGGGAAUAUUGGACAAUGGGCGAAAGCCUGAUCCAGCCAUGCCGCGUGUGUGAAGAAGGUCUUCGGAUUGUAAAGCACUUUAAGUUGGGAGGAAGGGCAGUAAGUUAAUACCUUGCUGUUUUGACGUUACCAACAGAAUAAGCACCGGCUAACUUCGUG
rnacentral:rRNA from 1 species